rnacentral:sRNA from 1 species
AGGCCAGGUUGCUGUGCUGGCUCAUCCUCCUUAGAAAGAUAUACAACCUCCAAUGAGUUCCCUGAUGAUACCCUGAACUUCAUCAAGACGCACCCGCUCAUGGAUGAGGCAGUGCCCUCCAUCUUCAACAGGCCAUGGUUCCUGAGAACAAUGGUCAGAUGCAGCUAUGAUGGAGUCGAAGACAAAAGGAUCAUGGGCAUGCAGCUGGACAGAGCAAGCAGCUCUCUGUAUGUUGCGUUCUCUACCUGUGUGAUAAAGGUUCCCCUUGGCCGGUGUGAACGACAUGGGAAGUGUAAAAAAACCUGUAUUGCCUCCAGAGACCCAUAUUGUGGAUGGAUAAAGGAAGGUGGUGCCUGCAGCCAUUUAUCACCCAACAGCAGACUGACUUUUGAGCAGGACAUAGAGCGUGGCAAUACAGAUGGUCUGGGGGACUGUCACAAUUCCUUUGUGGCACUGAAUGGGCAUUCCAGUUCCCUCUUGCCCAGCACAACCACAUCAGAUUCGACGGCUCAAGAGGGGUAUGAGUCUAGGGGAGGAAUGCUGGACUGGAAGCAUCUGCUUGACUCACCUGACAGCACAGACCCUUUGGGGGCAGUGUCUUCCCAUAAUCACCAAGACAAGAAGGGAGUGAUUCGGGAAAGUUACCUCAAAGGCCACGACCAGCUGGUUCCCGUCACCCUCUUGGCCAUUGCAGUCAUCCUGGCUUUCGUCAUGGGGGCCGUCUUCUCGGGCAUCACCGUCUACUGCGU